UUGCAGACUCUUUUUCUCCAUCGCCACCUCUUCAUUACUCAUCUCUAGCUUCCAAAGCUUCGCCUUGACUUUGACGGCAUCCUACUGAGCCCGAUAUAAGUCUUUUUCGAGAGUUUCAAUUCAAAUUCUCAGAGAUAAGACUGUCGGAAGAUGCUUAACCUGAUAUUAGGUGAACAUGCGGUCGCAACAAUCACAUCAGAUCAACUGAAAAGAUCAUUAUACAUAAAUAAGUUUAAAAAU
rnacentral:lncRNA from 1 species